rnacentral:lncRNA from 1 species
GUUAAAGGCAUCUUUUUAUAAUAAUAAAAAUAUUAUUUUAUAUUAUUAUAUUGUUUUGCAAUAUUAUCAAUUAUAUAUUAUUUUGGAAUAUAAAUAUAUUACCGAAUUUGUUAUAUCAGAGUUGUUUUUACAAAACCCAGAUAUAAUAUUCAUAAAAAAUGCUAAUUACAAAACAAAGUUAUACGAGUUAUAUAUGUAUAUAAAAUAUUUAUAUUUAAAAGAUCUAGUUAACCAUAUUAGUAUUCUUCUUAAUUUUAUAAUUUUUAUUUAUUAUAAAUAUUUUGAAUACCAUUACAAAGGGAGUGAUGAACAUUUCUGGAAUUUUAUACAUUUUUUUUUAUCUAUACAUGAGGAGUCUUACUAUCACAGUUUGUUGAUAACAGAGUACAAAAAAAGCAAAAUUGUAAAAAAGGGUGUGUUUCGUACAACAAAUAAUGGUUUUUUAGAUUCUCCAAACGUGGGUGGUCAGGUUGAAAAAGCGAGUGAGGACCAUGUUAAUAUAACAAAUGUGAACUAUAAUGACAUAACGAGUGGGAAUUAUAAUGACCUAAGUGUAGGAGGUGACAAUAGGAAGCACACAGCCAGAUUCAGACCCGGACCUGGACCUGGACCUGGACCUGGACCUAAACACAAACCCAGACCCAAUCGAAACGAAGUAGUCAACAUAAUUCCAACGGAUGAUAUUAGCAAAAAUGAUGCUUCAUCAAGAAGUAAACAAAUGACAACACAAGGCAAUAUGAGAAGUAAAGUUGACAAAAUUAAUUAUUAUGCUUUGGUUUUAGCUAACUCACUAUAUAAAUAUACACACAUGAUUUUUUAUAAAAUUGUAAAUACUUUUAUAAAAGCCAAAAUUAAUAUUUUGAAUUCGAAAAACUUACGUAAUAAUUUAGUUUAUGAUAUCUAUUCUCAUUUGAAGCAUACAUUUAUAAAUACAAUAAAAAAAAAUAAUAAAAAUUAUAUUAAUGCGUUAAAUUAUAAAUACUCUUUUUAUGAUUUUGAAGAAAUGAAAACCAAUUUGAAAUUAUGUAUAUAUUUAAAAAAUGUCUAUUUAAAAAAUGACUUAUUCAGCAUAAAUAUGUUAAAAAUUUUAAAUAUAGAGAAUAUUAAAAAAGUGAAAAAGGGUGAGAGAGGCAGUAAUGGUGUUAAUAGAGUCAGAAACAGUAGUGACUGUAGUAACGUUCAAGUGAAUACAUCAGAAAAUUGUUUAAUAAAAAAGAAGGCAGUUGAUGAUGGUAAAAGUAGUGACAAAAGAUAUAUCCGAGGAAAUAAUGGAAGUAGUAACAGUAGUAGUAUUAGUAACAAUGGUAGUAUUAGUAUUAGUAGUAGUAGUAGUAGUAGUAGUACUAGCAGUAGUAGCAGCAUUAAUGUAGUAUGUGGUAAAAAAGAAGUCAGGAUCAAUGAUGAAGCACACUUAGAUAUACCAACCAAAGAUUUAAAACAAAAUAAUAUAAAUGAAUUGUUAAAUAGUCAUAAGAAACAUAUUAAAAAAGUACCAUCAAAUACAAAAGACAAAACAAAUAAAUUAAUGAAUGAUUUUUUUGAAAUGAAAAAAAAAAAAAAAAUUUCUAUAAAAUAUUUUAAUAAUGUUUUAACAUAUUUUUUAAAAAAUAAACUGUAUGAUUAUAAAAUAAGUGUUUUGGAUUAUUAUAAAUCUGAAGAAAAAUUGGUUGAUACUGUAUUUUUAUUUUUGGGCAAACUGUUCGAUUUUUUUUUUAAUUCGCUUUUAUCUUUUCGAGACAGUGAACAUUUUUAUAAAGGUGGUAGUAAUUCAAAUCGUACUUGUAUGAAGCAAGCUGGUGUAAGUCAAUCUGGUGUAAGUCAAGCUGGUGUAAGUCAAACUGGUGUAAGUCAAGCUGGUGUAAGUCAAUCUGGUGUAAGCCAAACUGAUGUAAGUCAAUCUGGUGUAAACCAAACUGGUGUAAGCCAAACUGGUACAAGCCAAACUGGUACAAGCCAAACUGGUACAAGCCAAACUGGUACAAGUUCAAAAAACAUGAAUAACACAAGAUUUUUAACUCCUUUUACCAAUAAGAACUAUCGUAAACGCAAUAAGAAGUAUUAUUUGUAUGAACAACUCAUGAUGUAUUUUAUAAUUUUUGCAAUGUGUCAUUAUGCUGAUAGUUUAGUAUUUGUUAUUAUAAGCCUUUUAAAUAUGAAAGAAGUGACUGCAGACUAUGUAAGAAACGUGGCUCCAAGUGGGGCUAUAAAUGAGGCUAAUGGGAAUAGUUUGGCGGAACAGAAAAAGCAACAGCAUAAUAAUACUAAUUCACAACAGCAUAAUAGUAGUAAUAAUAAUAAUGAUAGCCUACAAGAACAAGAGCCAGAUGCAAUGUUCAUAAAUAAUGUAAAACCAUACAACCAAUUGGAAUCACAAGAUUUGAUUCCUAACGGAAUAGAAAAGUGUAUAGAUUAUACAGUGUCAGCAUCAGCAUCAGCAUCAGCAUCAGCAUCAGUAAAAAAUAAAGACUUACGAAAAGAUUUUUAUUUACAGUCUAGUUUUUUAAGCACAAAUAAUUAUUAUAUUUUUCAAAAAAAAGCAUUUUACAUAACUAAUAGUAACAAAGAAUGUUGUAAAUUACUUAUCCCUAUGUAUAAAUUGUUAUUGACUAGAUUAAAAGUAUGCUUAUAUUAUCCAAGAUUUUUUUUUCUUGCAUUUUUAUUUAAUUAUUCAAAUUAUAACUUUGCCGAAUCUGAUAAUAUAUUAAAUUAUUUAAAAGAUAAUAACUGCUUAAGUAAAGUUAUUAAAUAUUCUGUUGAUGACUUUAGCGUUGAUAAAAUUAAUUCGCCAACAAAGGGGGGUAAAGAAAAAAUAAACAGUCUUACUUAUAUUGAAGAGAAUAUACCACUUGUAGA